AGUCGAACGUGAAAGCACUUCGGUGUGAGUAGAGUGGCGGACGGGUGAGUAACGCGUGGGAAUCUGCCCAGUAGUGGGGGACAACUACCGGAAACGGUAGCUAAUACCGCAUACGCCCUAUGGGGGAAAGGCUUCGGCCGCUAUUGGAUGAGCCCGCGUCAGAUUAGCUAGUUGGUAGGGUAAAGGCCUACCAAGGCAACGAUCUGUAGCUGGUCUGAGAGGACGAACAGCCACACUGGGACUGAGACACGGCCCAGACUCCUACGGGAGGCAGCAGUGGGGAAUAUUGGACAAUGGGCGAAAGCCUGAUCCAGCAAUGCCGCGUGCGUGAAGAAGGCCUGCGGGUUGUAAAGCACUUUCAGUUGGGAAGAUGAUGACGUUACCAACAGAAGAAGCACCGGCUAAAUCCGUGCCAGCAGCCGCGGUAAUACGGAUGGUGCGAGCGUUAAUCGGAAUUACUGGGCGUAAAGCGCGCGUAGGCGGCUAAGUCAGUCAGAAGUGAAAGCCCCGGGCUCAACCUGGGAAUUGCUUUUGAUACUGCUUGGCUAGAGUUUGGUAGAGGAUAGUGGAAUUCCAGGUGUAGCGGUGAAAUGCGUA
rnacentral:rRNA from 1 species